CUCUUUUUGUUUCUUCUACAAACGUCUAUGUGUUUUCUUCUUCUUGUUGAGCGGAAGAUCAUCACAUCGUCUUCUUCUCUCCUCCUCCCUUUUACCUAGUUUGGCGAAGCCUCUUCCCUUCUAGCACACUCUAGCCAAGCAGAGUCAGAUUUUCCUUGACUGAGAGAGAAAGAUAAAGAGAUGAGGGAGGAUGAUGUUCUUGCUUAGAUGGUCAUGCCCAUGUGAAUGAGUGAAGCUGCCAGCAUGAUCUAUCUUUGAUUCGCUUCUGCGUGUGAAUCCUUGUUAGAUCAUGACUGACAGCCUCAUUUCUUCCCAGCAAUGGGCAUAUACUGUGUGUUUGAAGCAUGGGGCCGAAAGGCAUCGUCGCCGGCCAGGGGUAAGUGGCUAGCUGAUCUGCUGGCUCCUCAUGUUAAAUUAACCCAGCUCUAACCAUGAAUGUUCUGAUGGAACUUUGUAGUGCUAGUAUAUGAGCUGUGUGAGCCAGUUUCAUAGUUGAGCAGCAAGGGAAACCAAUUUUUUUAUUUUUUCCUUUUUAUCACAACUUUUCUGCCAGUUUGAUUGUUUCAUACAGUAGUUGUUAAGUCAAUUCGUGGGGGAUCCAUCGCUUUAUUUGGUCACAUGCUUAGUUUAUUGUCUCUGAUGUGGGCCUGCUUUUUGAUUAGGUUACGAUAUUUGUGGAGUGCACCGGUUUCAGUUUGUUAGCACUAGUAUACUAUGCCUCCAAACAAGUUAGUUAGUUAGCGACUACUUUAAUGGUAGUUCAUAUGAUUAUUUAGGAAAAUAGUAUAGUCUAACCGAAGCACUUGGCCACAAGCCCACCAACUAACUACCACAAUAUAUUUAUUUAGCCAAUCAAAUCUAGCUAGCUAUACAUGAUGAUUUCAUGAUAGCGACAUCUAUGUACUGGGUUCCUGCACUAGCUAAUCCAUACCGUCGAUCAGCUACACAGGCAUACGGCUCUAUUUUCUUUGCAAGAUAUAUCUACAAACAUAUUCCAUUUACUUUUAUGUAAAAUACACUAUACGGUUUUUCAACCAAAGUGUACGUAUGUCGCCAAAAUUACCCAGACAUAUGAUUUUCAUGUAAAAUAUACUACAUACUGAUAAAGCAAUUGAAAUGCACACAUGUAGGGUCACCAAAUUAUGCCCUCUUGCCGUGUAUAUAUGUAUAGGAGAUUGCAUAACAAGAUCCAAAUGGGCAGCUAGCUAGAUUAAGAAAAGGUCUAGAUCUACCAAGCUAGUACAUGUAUGCAUAUGGAGAAAGCUAUAACUGGGCCACUUUCAAGCUCUGGAACGGAAAUGGCGAUAUAAACAUAGAUCUUGUCACUUUCUCGGUUCCAGAACUGGCCACUGCACAAUCCCACUGCCAGUCUGAGCAGCCCACAUUUUUCCAUGCUAGUUAACUAAUUUAGAAAUCAUAUUCCUAACAAUAUUGUGAAUCUAAUCAAACAGUAACAACAACUUAUAAUUUUUGGUAAAAGAAACAGUUCUAAUUAUUUUAUGAUACAUCCAUCUUCCUUCGUUAUCAAUAUUAAAAAGUCAUAUCUAUUAUUUAUUUUCAUUUCUAUGAAUGAAAAUUGUUUUAGGGUAAACAUUUUUUCGGGUAUAACAAGCAGUACCAGUUAUCAUAGUGAUCAAAAGGAGGAAAGGUGAAAAAUAUUAAAGUGAUUAGGUACUAAGUGUCUUCACAAACAUAUGUACUUCAAUUUCUAACAAACUGAUAAUUAAGUCCUGAUCAUAAAGUUGCAAUUUUAGACGACAGCCCUACGAUUGGAAUUCAAGUUAAAAGUUGCUACCAAAUAAAUGUGAUGUCGACAUGCACGAAAUGGUCCCUAGCUAGUAGCUAGACUACACACAGAAUCGAUGACAGAUAAAACAAUCUCAGUUUAACACAAAAAAAAGGUUAGUAAUAACAUUAUAAAAUCCUGGUGAAUGGAAAGACGUGAGAAGCCUUUGGAUGCCUUUGGUGCAUGCCUUCAGUUUGGGACCGCAAUUUUUUUUCCAUACAUGUAUUGAUCAAGAGAAACGAUGACAUUUCUUCUCUAGCUAACUUUUAGAUCUAAUAUUUGGACGCACAUGACAUGUACACACACCUUAAUUAUCCAUGUGACCGCCACACAAGCACGCAUCUUUGGUACGCAUGUAUGGCCAUUAACUUUUGGAUCUAUGCUUUUUCGCAAAAAAAAAACUUUUGGAUCUAUGCUAGAAUUAUUUGUUUCAACUUGAGCUGAAAUUAAGUAGGGAGUAAGUAGGAAAAUAUAAAUCGUUUAACACAUUUUUUUUUUGAGGCAAACUGGUCGAUGGCCAUGCAUAUUUUUUGAAAGGAAGGCCUAGGCCUGGUGUUUGACGCCAUGAUAAACAAGAAAUGUGAGAGAUAUCAAACGAAACAAUCAAACUAACAAUACACAAGAAGCGCCGCUUGAUCCUCGAGGUCCGAGGGGGGUGAUGGAGCCAUGCAUAUAUGAAUGUACCCUUGGUGUCCUUGUAUUCCAAUCAUCUCUAGUAGUUUGUUGCAGCAGCGAUUUUCACAGUACUAGUAGUGCCCAGUUCCCACUUCCCAUCACAGUACCGUCCAGAAAAAAUAAAUAAUGGAAGAAAAAAAAUCAAGUGAAGGAAAAAAAUGAGAGAGAGAAGGGAGCAUUCUGAGUUUCUCUCCCACCGCUUGGCCUAUAUAUCCUCAGUCGCUUGCUGCUCUCUUCGACCUCCUUCCCCGCCCCCAAUUAUUCCCACCUCUCUCUCCCCCUCUCUCCCUCUCUCUCGCCAAAAUGCCAGAGUUAUUCCCCUUUCUCUUUGACGGGUAGAUCAAGGUGCACCACGAGCUGGUGAAGCUGCCAGCAUGAUCUGAUGACCUAACUCAUGGAUCAGAGUCCAUGUCAAUCAGGUCAUGCUGGAGUUUCAUCUGCUGGUCGGAGCACCACGAAAACCCUAGAAUCCCAUGAAAUCUAUCCGUGGGCCAUCUACCCUUCCUGCAGGUUGUCCUCAAGGGGCACAGAGUGAUAUUUUCCUCAGCAAUUGAAGAUUUGGAUGCAGAAGAAGCAGCAUAUAAAUUUCAUCUGGAAGGUGGAAAAAAGUUGUUGCGUGAUCUGUAUGACUGUAUCUGAGCAGCAUUAUUCUUCUUGAUCUCACGCAUUGAUUGAUCCUUGUUGCACCUCUAUUAUUUCCUUUAUGGAUUUGUCGUGGUAUUAUCCACUUGUAAAUGCGAUGUAUGGGCGUGUUAAUACCACUGUCUCUAACUUCUUGCAUAGUAGUAUCGGGAACAUGAUGCUGAAUUACAAAUUGUUUUCAUCAGCUGUGAUUAGGAUCGUUCAUUUUGGUCUUGUAAGUAAUGGCACUGAAUUAACAAAUACACCAAGUAGUGAUAAUUUAAACGAAAGGUGGAUAUGGGACAGAUCGAAAAGUGGGUGUGGAAAAGAAUUAUGAACUGAGUUGUCAUGUCCAUCAAGACAAUGGAUUAUCAA